UCUAAUGUGAAAUGCACUACACAGGGGAAGAUUAAUGCAAUACUUCAUUUUAUUAAUUUUUAGUAUUUCUUCUCAUGGUUGAUGUUACAAGUCAUGGUCCCAAGUCUAUUUUCUGUUUGUUCUUUAAAACACACAUAUAUACAUUCAAAAAUACUCCUUCUUUAUGAACUUUAAAAUUAUCCUCUUCAUAAAAGUAGAGGCUUAGAAAAUUGAGACUAACAGCUUGUAUUCCAAACUAGUUUCUGUCUCUAAAGCUUUGACACAAAGCUCAGAAUGGCAAAGAAUUGAAAUAAUGUUUAAUCUUCUACUUACCACACAAAACAAAGUCUUUAGAUUUACCCAGAAGCCCACACCCUGUUGUUUGCUGCUCUGGAUACAGACUCUCGGAGAUACAUUUCUGCUGAUGUAAAGACACAAAGCAGUGAUGGAUCUUACUAGCCUCAGUAAUCCCUUUUAUUGGGAUGGAGUUGGAGCAACUAAAUGGAGCUGAGUGUUUACUGGCUGGAUGCCCUUCCUGACACCUAUGCAGAGUUUGCAGCAGAAAUUUUCUCUUCGUGCCCUAAUAGAGAAACAUCUGUCGCUACCAAGGAUUGAACUCUCAACCUUCUGAGUGUGAGGCUACCUUCAAAUCCAGAAUGACUCUGGGCAGCUCACUAUGUGAGAAAGAGAAUACAACAUAAUACAAUUUUAAUAAGAGCCAACAAAAAUAGAUCGGAUAGGAACAAGAUAGAUAACAAGAUGACCAAUCCAACCAACAACACAAGGUACAUCAUCAUCAUCAUCAUCAUCAUCAUCAUCAAGUUGGAAGGUACCUUGGAGGUCAUCUUGUCCAACCCCCUGCUCAGGCAGGAAACCUAUACCAUUUCAGACAAAUGGCUGUCCAGUCUCUUAAAAACAUAUAUCAACGAAACUCAUUGGGACUCCAGACAACCUACCCAGAUCUUCAAGGUCCUUCAGUAGUAUUAUUGUUCUUAAAUGGAUCUAUGUACACAUGGCUGCCUUUAGUGUCAACAGCAAUAAAAUAGAUUAAAAAGAUUGUUGACCAGCAAUACAAAUCUUAGAAGAACUGGGUUUGCCUUCCAUAACAAAAAAGAUAAGUGAAAGUGAAAAGACCCAUGCUAAA